UCUGGAGAUCCCCCUCUUUUGGUAUCUUCUAGUGAGCUCAACUCAAGGGAAGGAGGUGAUCCUUUUGGACUUCCUGGGACCUGGACAAACCAUCAGCUCUGACCACUACAUCGCAAUGCAGAUGAAGCUGAAAGCUUGAAUUUCCAGAAUCAGGCUCAUGAAAAAAGAGACACUUUCUCUGGCAACAUGGUAAUGCCAGGUACCAUACCAGUUUGAAGACCAUGGUGCACAUUGUCAAUCUUGCCUGGGCUGUUCUACAAAACCCACUGUAUAUUCUGGUUUUAUUCCCUUCUGGCUUCCUCCGGUUCAGACCAAAGAAAGGUGGACUAUGUGGGCAACAUUUUUCUAGCAGCAACAUCAUAAGAUCUGUGAAACAGUGGGUCAUCUCCACUGGUCUGUUUUUUUUAUGAGCAUGGAAUGCAGGCUCUCGUUCAUCACUGAUGAAAAUACAUAGCUAAUGUUGGUAACUACAUUGAAAAAUAGCAUUAUGUAGCUGAAAAUUUGCUCUAUCAAACAGUGUUGUUACACUUUUCGCAUUUGUUAUAGUUUCCAUGAAGAUAAAUAGGAGGCAUUACUUGUGGAGCAACCUACAAAGAAGACAUUAAUCUUAUUAACAAAACUGAUUUAGAUGGAAUCUUCUAUUCAGCACUCAGAAAUAAACAGUCCGAAAACA